rnacentral:rRNA from 1 species
CAGCAGCCGCGGUAAUACGUAGAGUGCAAGCGUUGUCCGGAAUUAUUGGGCGUAAAGGGUACGCAGGCGGAUAAUCAAGUCAAGCGUGAAAGGUGUCGGCUUAACCGACAGACUGCGUUUGAAACUGGUUAUCUUGAGUGUAACAGAGGAGAGUGGAAUUCCUAGUGUAGUGGUGAAAUACGUAGAUAUUAGGAAGAACACCAGUGGCGAAGGCGACUCUCUGGGUUAACACUGACGCUGAGGUACGAAAGCUGGGGGAGCGAACGGGAUUAGAUACCCCGGUAGUCCCAGCCGUAAACGAUGGAUACUAGGUGUUGGAGGUUCGAAUCCUUCAGUGCCGGAGUUAACGCAUUAAGUAUCCGCCUGGGGAUUACGAUCGC